rnacentral:pre_miRNA from 1 species
AGAUUUAGGGUCUGAUCCAUAGCCUGUUGAAAUCAGUGGCAAUCUUUCCAUUGAUUUCAGUGGGCUUUGGAUCAGGCUCUUAAAGCU